rnacentral:rRNA from 1 species
AUUGAACGCUGGCGGCAGGCCUAACACAUGCAAGUAGAGCGCAGCGGCGGACGGGCGAGUAAUGCCUAGGAAUCUGCCUGGCAGCGGGGGAUAACGUCCGUAAACGGGCGCUAAUCCCGCAUACUAUCAGAUGAGCCUAGGUCGGAUUCGCUAGUUGGUGGGGUAAAGGCCUACCAGGGCGCCGAUCCGUAACUGGUCUGAGAGGAUGAUCAGUCACACUGGAACUGAGACACGGUCCAGACUCCUACGGGAGGCAGCGGUGGGGAAUAUUGGACAAUGGGCGAAAGCCUGAUCCAGCCAGGCCGGUGGUGUGAAGAAGGUCUUCGGAUUGUAAAGCACUUUAAGUUGGGAGGCGUUACCAACAGAAUAAGCACCGGCUAACUUCGUGCCAGCAGCCGCGGUAAUUC